CCUACGGGGGGCAGCAGUGGGGAAUAUUGCGCAAUGGGCGAAAGCCUGACGCAGCGACGCCGCGUGAGGGAUGAAGGUCUUCGGAUCGUAAACCUCUGUCAGCAGGGAAGAACGGUCACUGUGCUAAUCAGCAGUGAAUUGACGGUACCUGCAAAGGAAGCACCGGCUAACUCCGUGCCAGCAGCCGCGGUAAUACGGAGGGUGCGAGCGUUAAGCGGAAUUACUGGGCGUAAAGCGCUCGUAGGCGGUAUGUCAAGUCAAGGGUGAAAUCCCCGGGCUUAACGUGGGAACUGCCUUUGAAACUGGCAAACUGGAGUGUGUGAGAGGAGAGUGGAAUUCCAGGUGUAGGAGUGAAAUGCGUAGAUAUCUGGAGGAACAUCAGUGGCGAAGGCGACUAUCUGGCACAUAACUGACGCUGAGGAGCGAAAGCGUGGGUAGCAAACAGGAUUAGAUACCCCUGUAGUC
rnacentral:rRNA from 1 species